rnacentral:rRNA from 1 species
AGUUCGAUUAUGGCUCAGAUUGAACGCUGGCGGGAUGCUUUACACAUGCAAGCCGAACGGCAGCACGGACUUCGGUCUGGUGGCGAGGGCGAACGGGUGAGUAAUGUAUCGGAACGUGCCUAGUAGCGGGGAUAACUACGCGAAAGCGGUAGCUAAUACCGCAUAUUGCCCUUCGGGGAAAGCGGGGACCUUCGCCUCGCACUAUUAGAGCGGCUGAUAUCGGAUUAGCUAGUUGGUGGGGUAACGGCUCACCAAGGGCGACGAUCCGUAGCUGGUUUGAGAGGACGACCAGCCACACUGGGACUGAGACGUUCCAGACUCCUACGGGAGGCAGCAGUGGGGAAUUUUGGACAAUGGGGGAAACUCCCUGAUCCAGCCAUCCCGCGUGUGCGAUGAAGGCCUUCGGGUUGUAAAGCACUUUUGGCAGGAAGAAACGGCACGACAAUACCCGUGCAACUGACGGUACCUGCAGAAUAAGCACCGGCUAACUACGUGCCAGCAGCCGCGGUACAUGUAGGUGCAAGCGUUAAUCGAAUUACUGGGCGAAGUGCGCAGGCGGUUCGGAAAGAAAGAUGUGAAAUCCCAGAGCUUAACUUCUGGAACUGCAUUUUAACUACCGAGCUAGAGUGUGUCAGAGGGAGGUGGAAUUCGCGUGUAGCAGUGAAAUGCGUAGAUAUGCGGAGGAACACCGAUGGCGAAGGGGCAGCCUCCCUGAUAACACUGACGCUCAUGCACGAAAGCGUGGGGAGCAAACAGGAUUAGAUAAUUCUGGGUAGUCCACGCCCUAAACGAUGUCAACUAGCUGUUGGGGCCUUCGCCUGGUAGCGCAGCUAACGUGUUGACCGCCUGGGGAGUACGGUCGCAAGAUUAAAACUCAAAGGAAUUGACGGGGACCCGCACAAGCGGUGGAUGAUGUGGAUUAAUUCGAUGCAACGCGAAAAACCUUACCUACCCUUGACAUGUCUGGAAUCCCGAAGAGAUUUGGGAGUGCUCGCAAGAGAACCGGAACACAGGUGCUGCAUGGCUGUCGUCAGCUCGUGUCGUGAGAUGUUGGGUUAAGUCCCGCAACGAAAGGCAACCCUUGUCAUUAGUUGCUACGAAAGGGCACUCUAAUGAGACUGCCGGUGACAAACCGGAGGAAGGUGGGAUGACGUCAAGUCCUCAUGGCCCCAGGGUAGGGCUUCACACGUCAUACAAUGGUCGGGACAGAGGGUCACCAACCGCGAGGGGGAGCCAAUCCCAGAAACCCGAUCGUAGUCCGAUCGCAGUCUGCAACUCGACUGCGUGAAGUCGGAAUCGCCAGUAAUCGCGGAUCAGCAUGUCGCGGUGAAUACGUUCCCGGGUCUUGUACACACCGCCCGUCACACCAUGGAGUGGGUUUUACCAGAAGUAGUUAGCCUAACCGUAAGGAGGGCGAUUACCACGGUAGGAUUCAUGACCGUGAAGUCGUAACAAGGUAG